rnacentral:rRNA from 1 species
UACGAAGGGGGCUAGCGUUGUUCGGAAUUACUGGGCGUAAAGCGCAUGUAGGCGGCCCAACAAGUCGAAUGUGAAAUCCCGGAGCUCAACUCCGGAACUGCAUACGAUACUGUUGGGCUCGAGUCUCGGAGAGGAUGGCGGAAUUUCCGGUGUAGAGGUGAAAUUCGUAGAUAUCGGAAGGAACACCAGUGGCGAAGGCGGCCGUCUGGACGAUGACUGACGCUGAGAGGCGAGAGCGUGGGGAGCAAACAGG